GACGUGCUAAUCUGCGAUAAGCGCCGGUAAGGUGAUAUGAACCGUUAUAACCGGCGAUUUCCGAAUGGGGAAACCCAGUGUGACUCGUCACACUAUCAUUAACUGAAUCCAUAGGUUAAUGAGGCGAACCGGGGGAACUGAAACAUCUAAGUACCCCGAGGAAAAGAAAUCAACCGAGAUUCCCCCAGUAGCGGCGAGCGAACGGGGAGGAGCCCAGAGCCUGAAUCAGCAUGUGUGUUAGUGGAAGCGUCUGGAAAGGCGCGCGAUACAGGGUGACAGCCCCGUACACAAAAGCGCAUGUGCUGUGAGCUCGAUGAGUAGGGCGGGACACGUGGUAUCCUGUCUGAAUAUGGGGGGACCAUCCUCCAAGGCUAAAUACUCCUGACUGACCGAUAGUGAACCAGUACCGUGAGGGAAAGGCGAAAAGAACCCCGGCGAGGGGAGUGAAAAAGAACCUGAAACCGUGUACGUACAAGCAGUGGGAGCACCCUUUGGGGUGUGACUGCGUACCUUUUGUAUAAUGGGUCAGCGACUUAUAUUCUGUAGCAAGGUUAACCGAAUAGGGGAGCCGGAGGGAAACCGAGUCUU
rnacentral:rRNA from 1 species